rnacentral:lncRNA from 1 species
AAAUAAACUAAAAAACAAGAAUCUUUUUGGAUUUUUCAUUUAUAAUUUUUUUGGUUUUUCAAAUACAAAACAGGAAGUACGAUAACAAAAGAAUCAACAAACUCAACUAGACUAUGAUAGACUCUUACAUCAUCUAAAAGAUGCAAUACUACUGGACAAGACUGCAAAGUAAAAGACAAAUAUAAAAACAGACUCAAAACAUAAAAAAGCUCCUUAAGCAGCUCCUGAAUGCAGUGGUCCUGACUAGAUGGUCCUGGAGCGUCUUUCAUGCUUGAGCUUUAGUAAAUGGAUCCAUACCUGAAUGAAAAAAUAAGACCAAAUAGAGUUAGUGACUCAAGACACUAUGUGAGAUCAUAACGCUUCCUAAUGGGUACAUGUAAGGCACGAGUGGGGCUAUUUCUGCAAAAUAGCCAACGUGGCCAAAAGGUCGCUAGAAGUGAAAAAUCAAUUAGGACGACCUCUAAGACAUGGAAAAACAUCACGAAAGCCCAUAAACUCUUAGGAAUUGUGAUCCCUAAAAUUGCUUUACAAAAAUAACCCAACUUUGCAGAAAUGACCUAUGUGGCCAAAAAAAUGGCUAAGUAUGCAAAUUCAACGGGAGUGGACCUUAAACUAAGAGGAUGCCUUGUUGUGGACUUAGGAAUCUAAGACAUGAUUUAACAAGCCACUUUCAUAAAAUAGCCUUAUUUUUCAAAAAUAAAUGACUGAUGUGGCCAAAUGUGGCUAGACAUGCAAGAUUUGACUACGUCCCCUGAAGCCAAGAACUUAAGACUUACUAGGAAGACCGGACCCUAUGUGGGCUGCCUACGUAUCCCGCCCUGAAAGACGAGAAUCAGGUAUGCGUAGUUCGGGGGAUCGGAUAUUGGAGAAAGCUUUGAAAAAUGCAACUAAUUUGGAAAAACUAUUUUUUUGUCUUUUUUUGAAAAUGAUAAGAAAGUGUAAAAUCUUUUUUCUUUUUUAUUUUUUUUCUUUUUAGAUAACGAGGCAAGAAAACUAAAAGUGAUAAAACCUUCAAUAUUCUCUCUUACUUCAUUUUUCACCCUUCUUUCCCAAAUACCAGUCCGCCAAAUGAUCUUUAUACCCUCAAAGAUGCAACAUUUAGCACAUAGGAUGAUUGAAUGUCCUUUUGAGCCGGUGGACCCAUUUGACAUAAUUUGGACAGGCUUCCUACAAAGGAACACGAUACCUAGGACUGAGCCUUGCUAAGUCAUAAUGAUAUGAUGCACAUAGUAAUGACCUAAAGGCUGACCUAUGUUUGGGGUUCACUAACAAUCAAUUCGGGGCAGUGUAUGGUCGAUGGUGGCUGCUCAAGCUUUUCACCCACUCCAUGCAUCUGACGGCCUCCCAUCCUAAAAUAAGGGUAACUCAACAAAGAGUUCAUGUACGUAAUGCAUACUCUGAGACUUGUUGUAGAAAGAAUUAACUCAAGAUUAUGUAAAUGAUGACAAAUUAUAAAGCAGUAAAUACCUAAUUAAAAGCAAUAAACAAAUAAACAACAAAAUAGGAAAUAAAACAAACUAAAUAAAUAAACAAAGCAAAUAAAAAAACAAGUACCUCAACAAAAUAUUCUAACAAGUCAACAAGAUCAAGUACCAGCUCAAACCUGCAAUUCCCCAGCAGAGUCGCCAAAGAUUUCAUACCUUUUUUUCACCUCACUAGCCCCUUUAAAAUAGUAACAAGAUUUCUUAACCUCAAAAAUGUUUUUCAAAAUUGAAAAGUGACAAAAUUGUAUUUUUAAAAGAUUGUUCAGAGUCAUCACCUGGCAUUUGGUUUCAGUAUACCAGGUCACCAUUUAAAAAUAAUCUUUCGUUCAAAACACGUUUGACUCUAAAACUGACUACACCAGAAACCCAGAUAAGGGAGUUCAUUUGACUUGGGGAGAAAGUGUUAGGCAUUUUUCGAGUCCCGUAACUAGUACAGUUGCGUACAUAAUCAAAUUGCCUUUAUAGGAUGCUCAGAUUGAAGCAAAACACACAAAAAUUAAAAUAAACACAAGAGAGAUUCAAGGUCGUCCCCACCUAAAUGAAAGGAAAAGAAAAUAAAAGAAAAAUAAAAUAUUAAAAAUCCUAUACUAACCUAUACUAUGCUUCCUCCACGAUAUUCAUAAUGGCCGCCAAUUACAAAGUACUACGGGGCAUACCCUGGAUAAAAUUAUACACAAAAUAUGGGGGGCAUUCCCUUGAGUAUAGACUAAAGGGGAUGACCUUUCACCUUAACAACUAAAAUAUAACGUCCUAAAAUUUUGCCUAUCCGGCCAUUGUCGGCCUAAACAUGCCACUAGCAAUCAAAGCAAAUAAAUAAAAUUAAAAUAAGAGCGUGAUAAUCACUUAAAACCCAGUUUUUUUCCAGUUUCUAUUAUAUCCAACACCCGCAGCACAUUGGGUUAAGAUAAACAUUCAGCUUUUCUAUAUCAAUGGAACUAAUUGGGGAAAUUAGGCCUUAGUUCAUUCACACUCUUAUUAACUCAGCAUAUUGAUUCAAUUGGCUUUCCUCCAGCAAGAGUAGGUAUCAGCGCACAUUAAUAACAUAUCUAAUCUAAUCAAAUAACACCUACAUAAAAAAUUCAAGGAACAGAAGACCACCAUAUUGCAUUCAAUCUCCAUCCAACAUCAGAAUAUUCAUAUAACCAUGCCAAAUAAAGUGUCAGGUGUUUAUAAAAUUUAAAAGGAACAAAUAAAUAGGGAAAGAGUUUUGACCUUUAAUCUGAAACGGAGUUUUGAAUCAGCCUUCGAACUGGAGCUUGACCAACGACCUCAAAUAACACCUCAACGGACCCAACAACCCUGAAGAAUGCUUAUUUCGGUAAGGCUCAAACAUUCAAAACAAAACCAGUAACUUGGACCAAUUUUCUAGUCUAUGAGUGUGCCUGAGCUUAAGACAAUUGAAAUAGGAACGAACAGAUUGUGGAUCUAUGUGUUCAGGUUACAUUUUCAAGUGGUUUAAGACAAAUGAAAAAGAAAGUUAUGUGAGCAGGUGUGUUGUUGGUUAGUUUUCAUGGUAAAAUAGUCGUUGUUGGUAGUGUAAUGGAGAAAUGGUGUCACAUGGCAACGUUAAUGGGGAAAGAAAGUCAUGAAGAUGGCAUUUUCGGAAAAUUAUCUUCCUCUAUGUCACUCUCCAGAACUUUCUCUACCUGUGUCUAUCUCUAUCCGUCUAGAUGUGACAAAUCCGGCGUCGCUACCAUAGCGAGUAACACCAGAACGACGCUAGGGGGAACAAAGCUCAAAGGGUCGCCGAAGUAUGAAAGUUCGGCCAGAUCUGGUUUCGUCCUGUAUGUUUCCGAUUGACAUGGCAGCGAGAGGAGAAAGGGAAGAGUGAUGAGAGGGGAAGAGGGUGAUGGUGUAGGGCAAUCAUUGGCCACUGGUGAUGAUAUCCAGCGGCUGUGUUGUGCUCAGUUACUAGGGUUCCUUCUUUUUCUGUUAUAAUUGGUUUUAUAUACUAACUU